AACGAACGCUGGCGGCAUGGAUUAGGCAUGCAAGUCGAACGGUGAAGAUCUAGCUUGCUAGAUUGGAUCAGUGGCGAAAGGGUGAGUAACGCGUGAAUAACGUGCCCUCAAGUUGGGAAUAACUUCGCGAAAGUGGAGCUAAUACCGAAUGUGGAUGAUUUAUCGCAUGAUAAAUUAUCUAAAGGUUUACUGCUUGAGGAUCGGUUCGCGUCCCAUUAGCUAGUUGGUAAGGUAACGGCUUACCAAGGCAAUGACGGGUAGGUGGUCUAAGAGGAUGGUCACCCACACUGGGACUGAGACACUGCCCAGACUCCUACGGGAGGCUGCAGUCGAGAAUCUUCCGCAAUGGGCGAAAGCCUGACGGAGCAAUGCCGCGUGUAGGAUGAAGGCCUUUGGGUCGUAAACUACUGUCACUGGGGAUGAAUAAAAUGACAGUACCCGGAGAGGAAGCCACGGCUAACUACG
rnacentral:rRNA from 1 species